rnacentral:piRNA from 1 species
UGUCAAGGUUGUGACAAUACUUUAUGGGU